rnacentral:rRNA from 1 species
UGCAAGUCGAGCGGAAACGAGUUAACUGAACCUUCGGGGGACGUUAACGGCGUCGAGCGGCGGACGGGUGAGUAAUGCCUGGGAAAUUGCCCUGAUGUGGGGGAUAACCAUUGGAAACGAUGGCUAAUACCGCAUAAUAGCUUCGGCUCAAAGAGGGGGACCUUCGGGCCUCUCGCGUCAGGAUAUGCCCAGGUGGGAUUAGCUAGUUGGUGAGGUAAAGGCUCACCAAGGCGACGAUCCCUAGCUGGUCUGAGAGGAUGAUCAGCCACACUGGAACUGAGACACGGUCCAGACUCCUACGGGAGGCAGCAGUGGGGAAUAUUGCACAAUGGGCGCAAGCCUGAUGCAGCCAUGCCGCGUGUAUGAAGAAGGCCUUCGGGUUGUAAAGUACUUUCAGUCGUGAGGAAAGGUGUGUAGUUAAUAACUGCAUCAUUUGACGUUAGCGACAGAAGAAGCACCGGCUAACUCCGUGCCAGCAGCCGCGGUAAUACGGAGGGUGCGAGCGUUAAUCGGAAUUACUGGGCGUAAAGCGCAUGCAGGUGGAUGAUUAAGUCAGAUGUGAAAGCCCGGGGCUCAACCUCGGAAUAGCAUUUGAAACUGGUCAUCUAGAGUACUGUAGAGGGGGGUAGAAUUUCAGGUGUAGCGGUGAAAUGCGUAGAGAUCUGAAGGAAUACCGGUUGGCGAAGGCGGCCCCCUGGACAGUACUGACACUCAGAUGCGAAAGCGUGGGGAG